rnacentral:rRNA from 1 species
UACGUAGGGUGCGAACGUUGUUCGGAAUUACUGGGCGUAAAGCGCGUGUAGGCGGCAAUGCAAGUCGGGCGUGAAAUCCCACGGCUCAACCGUGGAAGUGCACUCGAAACUGCAUAGCUAGAGUCCUGGAGAGGAAGGUGGAAUGCUUGGUGUAGAGGUGAAAUUCGUAGAUAUCAAGCGGAACACCGGUGGCGAAGGCGGCCUUCUGGACAGUGACUGACGCUGAGACGCGAAAGCGUGGGGAGCAAACAGG